rnacentral:rRNA from 1 species
AUUGAACGCUGGCGGCAUGCCUUACACAUGCAAGUCGAACGGUAACAGGUCUUCGGAUGCUGACGAGUGGCGAACGGGUGAGUAAUACAUCGGAACGUGCCUAGUAGUGGGGGAUAACUACUCGAAAGAGUGGCUAAUACCGCAUGAGAUCUACGGAUGAAAGCAGGGGAUCGCAAGACCUUGUGCUACUAGAGCGGCCGAUGGCAGGUUAGGUAGGUGGUGGGAUAAAAGCUUACAAAGCCGACGAUCUGUAGCUGGUCUGAGAGGACGAACAGCCGAACUGGGAAUGAGACACGGCCCAGACUCCUACGGGAGUCAGCAGUGGGGAAUUUUGGACAAUGGGCGCAAGCCUGAUCCAGCAAUGCCGCGUGCAGGAUGAAGGCCUUCGGGUUGUAAACUGCUUUUGUACGGAACGAAAAGCCCUGGGUUAACACCCUGGGGUCAUGACGGUACCGUAAGAAUAAGCACCGGCUAACUACGUGCCAGCCGCCGCAGUAAGAC